rnacentral:misc_RNA from 2 species
UACUCUCACACUUCUAAUUCCUUUUGGGAUUGGGAGCGGUGGACUUGGGUGUUGCUGCUUUAGUUGUGGCUCACCUCAAAUAAGUUAGUGCAACUCUUGGUUGGACAUAGUACGGCGUGAUAAGUGUCUUCGCCGGCGCCUCUGUAAGGAGGGUGGCUGAUCGGGAGCUCUGUGCUUCAAACCGUCUUCGGACAAUCUUUGACA